GACGAACGCUGGCGGCGUGCUUAACACAUGCAAGUCGAACGGAAAGGCCCGGCUUAUGUGGGGUGCUCGAGUGGCGAACGGGUGAGUAACACGUGAGUAACCUGCACUUGCCUUAGAGAUAACUUCAGGAAACUGGGGCUAAUACCGGAUAGGAGCUACUGCUGUAUGGUGGGGGUUGGAAAGUUUCGGCGGUUGGGGAUGGACUCGCGGCUUAUCAGCUUGUUGGUGGGGUAGUGGCUUACCAAGGCUUUGACGGGUAGCCGGCCUGAGAGGGUGACCGGCCACAUUGGGACUGAGAUACGGCCCAGACUCCUACGGGAGGCAGCAGUGGGGAAUAUUGCACAAUGGGCGGAAGCCUGAUGCAGCAACGCCGCGUGCGGGAUGACGGCCUUCGGGUUGUAAACCGCUUUCGCCUGUGACGAAGCGUGAGUGACGGUAAUGGGUAAAGAAGCACCGGCUAACUACGUG
rnacentral:rRNA from 1 species